CUGAUGAAUAAGCUGGACAGUCUUUUCGAAAAUCGUGAACAAUUACGGCGAUGGCCUAGGUUAUCGUUGAGACAUACCCCGGAACAACAACAAGUUCGAAGGCGGAUCUUUCCCUGGCAGGAAAGUGGACAGAGCUUCGACGGAGCGCGGAAAAGACUUUGUGAUGGGGAAUUGGAAACGGAUAAUGUUCAGGGCUAACAGGACCCCAUAUAUCUGUAAGAAAUAGUUAAAAUAAAUGUUGAAUUAUAACGUGUGUUAAAAUGUAGGUGUUAAUUUUUGAAAAUGUAUACCCCCACCAUUUAACUAAGGGGUAGCGCUCUUUUCUCUCAAGCUAGGGUCUGGCGCAGACAACUGUAAGAUCUGAAAAAAAACAUGUAUUAUUUUAUAGUCUAUUCCUACAUUGGGUAUGUUAUGAACAUUACGUUUUAUUAAAGUUUGUAAUAAUGUACAAAGA